AUUGAACGCUGGCGGCAUGCUUUACACAUGCAAGUCGAACGGCAGCACAGGGAGCUUGCUCCCGGGUGGCGAGUGGCGAACGGGUGAGUAAUACAUCGGAACGUGUCCUUUUGUGGGGGAUAACUACUCGAAAGAGUAGCUAAUACCGCAUAAUACCUGAGGGUGAAAGCGGGGGACUUUAGGGCCUCGCGCAGUUGGAGCGGCCGAUGACUGAUUAGCUAGUUGGUGGGGUAAAGGCCUACCAAGGCGACGAUCAGUAGCUGGUCUGAGAGGACGACCAGCCACAUUGGGACUGAGACACGGCCCAA
rnacentral:rRNA from 1 species